AUGUGCUGUCUCUUUGUGUUCUUUUUAAUACCACCAUUCAGAUAUUUGUUUCUGUCUCUCAGCCCAAGCUUCUGAGCAACUGGUACAUUUGGAGUGUGACAGCAUACCACACCAUGCAUGGGACAAACCAAGGUGCCUUGCAGUGUCCCAGAAUCCAGCACUGUUGCCUCAAGGAAGAGAAAGAAGACCAGGUCCCCAGGGCUUUUCAAACUAGCCUGGCUUUCAAGGACAUAGGGCACAGGUUAAAUGGCUAUUAUAACAGCCCAUUAUAACCUGGGCAAAGGUCAGUCUAAGCCACCGCUCACAUUUUGCUUGUGCUAACAGCUGGCCCUCAACAGAAUUCUAGUGUGUCCACACAAGCUGCCCACACAGAAUCUCCACUGACCCAACAGUUUGAAGAUCCAGCCUAGGGAGUGGCACUCUGCAACUAUAGACUCCUUGACUGCACUGCUGCUCACUUCAGAGCAAAGUAGGAUGUGGUCCUCUUCCCUGCUACCUCCUCUUUCUCAGUGAGAGUCUCCUUAAGGGACCUUCAAAAUCAAGAGAACUGAAAACUUUUGUUUCCCAAAGCAUUCAAGCUGCCAGGCAAUUGCACAAAAGGCAGACAGCGGUUGUCGUGUUUGAAAGGAAAUGGCUGAGAACACUGAGACCAAGAGUAUAUGCUGACAUGGUCUUUUGCAGAUGGAGGAAAAAAAUGCGGAGGGAAAUCUUGCAGCUGGAAACUUUUGGAGCCACCCGUAGGAAUUAAACUUCAUCAAGCUGCAGUGGCAUGUCUGAGCUAAAGUAGAAGAGAGUCAGCCUCUCUGAACUUCUGAUCUUUGCCCUUCAGCUUAACCAUACAUUUGUUGGACAGCAGAAAGCAGGGUGGAGGGAAUGGGGUGAGGGCUGGGGCUUGAAGCUGACUGCAGGUGUCCAGAGCCUCCCUUCAGGUGGGCUGGAAGAGACAAGACUAGCACAUCGCCUGGCUGGCCAUACAGCCCUUCAGCUGCAGCCCUGGGAGCCAACACUCUGGUUGAAACAUGCUCUUCAAACCCCUUUGAGCAGAGUGGUCUCUGAGUAGACAGUUGACUGAAAUGUAAACAGCCAACUUACUUCAAGUCUUCACAGGUUCAUUCCCAUGCUGAUCACAGUUAUUCACCAGCUGUGAUUUACAUGUGUUGUGACUUUUCUAAGAGCCCUCUGUGGGCCCAGGAGGACAGAAAAAUAUUAGUACAUUUUGAUUUUACAGACACUGAGAGUUAAAAUCACUUUUCUGAAGUUCAGAGUGAACUGGUAACUAGACCAAUAUAGAAACUACUCAUUCCUAAGACUGUUUUCAAUGGCUAGCCAGCACUUCCUUUCACUUAGUUUACUGUUAAACCUAGAGGCAUAACUCAGAAAUCCAUAUACCAAGGGGACUGCUCCCUCACAGAACUCUAUUCAAUAUUUAUAGCAUGUCCUUAUUAUGGUGAUCAU